rnacentral:rRNA from 1 species
UACGUAGGUGGCAAGCGUUGUCCGGAUUUAUUGGGUUUAAAGGGUGCGUAGGCGGCCCGGUAAGUCAGUGGUGAAAUAUCCCAGCUUAACUGGGAGGGUGGCAUUGAUACUGCGGGGCUAGAGUACAGAUGAGGUAGGCGGAAUUGACGGUGUAGCGGUGAAAUGCUUAGAUAUCGUCAAGAACACCUAUAGCGAAGGCAGCUUACUAGGCUGUAACUGACGCUGAGGCACGAAAGUGUGGGGAUCAAACAGG